AGAACGAACGCUGGCGGCAUGCCUAAUACAUGCAAGUCGAACGAACACUUCGGUGUUAGUGGCGCACGGGUGCGUAACGCGUGGGAAUCUGCCCUUGGGUUCGGAAUAACGGUUGGAAACGACUGCUAAUACCGGAUGAUAUCGAAAGAUCAAAGAUUUAUCGCCCAGGGAUGAGCCCGCGUAGGAUUAGCUAGUUGGUGAGGUAAAGGCUCACCAAGGCGACGAUCCUUAGCUGGUCUGAGAGGAUGAUCAGCCACACUGGGACUGAGACACGGCCCAGACUCCUACGGGAGGCAGCAGUAGGGAAUAGUUGGACAAUGGGCGCAAGCCUGAUCCAGCAAUGCCGCGUGAGUGAUGAAGGCCUUA
rnacentral:rRNA from 1 species